rnacentral:rRNA from 1 species
GACGAACGCUGGCGGCGUGCUUAACACAUGCAAGUCGAACGGAAAGGCCCUGCUUUUGUGGGGUGCUCGAGUGGCGAACGGGUGAGUAACACGUGAGUAACCUGCCCUUGACUUUGGGAUAACUUCAGGAAACUGGGGCUAAUACCGGAUAGGAGCUCCUGCUGCAUGGUGGGGGUUGGAAAGUUUCGGCGGUUGUGGAUGGACUCGCGGCUUAUCAGCUUGUUGGUGGGGUAGUGGCUUACCAAGGCUUUGACGGGUAGCCGGCCUGAGAGGGUGACCGGCCACAUUGGGACUGAGAUACGGCCCAGACGCCUACGGGAGGCAGCAGUGGGGAAUAUUGCACAAUGGGCGGAAGCCUGAUGCAGCAACGCCGCGUGCGGGAUGACGGCUUUCGGGUUGUAAACCGCUUUCGCCUGUGACGAAGCGUGAGUGACGGUAAUGGGUAAAGAAGCACCGGCUAACUACGUG